rnacentral:lncRNA from 1 species
UAAGUCCCCGUUCUGAUUAUCGUCUCAAGUCAAUCGAAAUAUGGUAACUUUUUCGGUAAAUCGAUCUGAUCAUUACAGUAACUGGUUUUUGUGUACUGCUUGACACAAAAUUUUGAUAACUCUGGAUCUUAAUUGUCCCUUGAGCCAUUCAGAUUUCGGAACUAUAAAAUAAGUUUAUCUCAUCAUCACAGUUACUUGUUCCUCGAAAGAGCUUGACGCCAAAUUGUGGUAAACUAUUACAUUGUAAAUUCGUCUUAGCAUUGUUGUAACUGGUUUCUCGUAGCAUUGUUGUAAUUGGUUUCUCGUAACAUCAUUACGAUAAAUGGGCAGCCUGUGUCUUCACUCGUCUUUGUAUUACCUGGAUCGGUCGGUAUGCUUGAUGUAUUCUCGUAAUUGCCUAAAUAUUUAUCAUAGCUUGCAUGCAGUAGUUCUACUUGUAUGUAAAGCAGGGCAAUUUAUCUUUUAUGCAGAAUAUUGUCGCUAAUUAAAAUAUGAAUUCUUUUUUCUCAAAUACUCUGGUUUGUGCAAGCAAGGAACAAUAUGUAAAGCAGGGCAAUUUUAUGACGUCCUCUGACGCCCAAUUUUAGUGCCCCUCCGCCCUCAUUAUAGUAACUGAUUCCCCAAAGCAUAUUUGUAUGGUAACUCUACCUACUUACUAUCUCAAACCAUUUGAAUUAUCAUAAAUAGUUCGUGGUAAGUCCACUCAUCAUUAUAGUUAUUUGGUUCCACGGAAUACAAAGGAGCUAAAUUGAAGUAACCAGUAACUUCUGAUUCUAAAUACCUUAUCGACCCAUUUGAAUUACCCUACUUUGCUUAGGGUAAAUUGAUCACAUCACUGUAGUGAUUUGUUUUCUCGGAACGUCAUUAAUUCACACAGUCACAAUGUGGUAAAUCACCAUCUUAAUAACCCCACCUCAUCGUCCGAUAGCAUUCGAUUUAUCAGAAUUAGUUUAUGAUAAUCUCGUCGUUGUAGUAACAGGUUCCUCGCAAUAUGAAAAUGUCCUGUCGCAUAGAGCAUGAGGUACUGUUAACAUAUUGUACACAUCUAUAAGUUAUACGAAAAAAAAUCCAACUUUCAAACUUUGGAUCCAAAUAAUAAAUAAAGAAAAGCUACUACAAUGUAUC